GAUGAAGAGCGCAGCCAGCUGCGUUAAUUAAUGGGAAUUGCAGGACACAUUGAACAUCGAGAUCUUGAACGCAUAUUGCGGCCUCGGGCACUCCCGAGGCCACGCCCGUCUCAGGGUCGGUU
rnacentral:rRNA from 1 species